AUACGGAGGGUGCAAGCGUUAUUCGGAAUCACUGGGCGUAAAGGACGCGUAGGCGGGUUGGCAAGUCAGAUGUGAAAUCCUACAGCUUAACUGUAGAACUGCAUUUGAAACUGCCGACCUAGAGUAUGGGAGGGGGAGAUGGAAUUAGUGGUGUAGGGGUAAAAUCCGUAGAUAUCACUAGGAAUACCGAAAGCGAAGGCGAUCUCCUGGAACAUAACUGACGCUAAGGCGUGAAAGCGUGGGGAGCAAACAGGAUUAGAAACCCUAGUAGUCCC
rnacentral:rRNA from 1 species